rnacentral:rRNA from 1 species
CCUACGGGUGGCAGCAGUGGGGAAUAUUGGACAAUGGAGGGAACCCUGAUCCAGCCAUGCCGCGUGUGUGAAGAAGGCCCUCGGGUUGUAAAGCACUUUCAGUGAGGAAGAACGCCUGGUGGUUAAUACCCAUCAGGAAAGACAUCACUCACAGAAGAAGCACCGGCUAACUCCGUGCCAGCAGCCGCGGUAAUACGGAGGGUGCGAGCGUUAAUCGGAAUUACUGGGCGUAAAGCGCGCGUAGGUGGCUUGAUAAGCCGGUUGUGAAAGCCCCGGGCUCAACCUGGGAACGGCAUCCGGAACUGUCAAGCUAGAGUGCAGGAGAGGAAGGUAGAAUUCCCGGUGUAGCGGUGAAAUGCGUAGAGAUCGGGAGGAAUACCAGUGGCGAAGGCGGCCUUCUGGACUGACACUGACACUGAGGUGCGAAAGCGUGGGUAGCAAACAGGAUUAGAUACCCUUGUAGUC